ACCUGGAUAGCUCAGUUGGUUAGAGUGUGAUGCUGAUAAUACCAAGGUUGCAGGUUUGAUCCCUUUAUGGGAUA
rnacentral:tRNA from 1 species